rnacentral:lncRNA from 11 species
GGGACUCAGGGCGGCUUACAUGGGGCCAAGCCCAGACGUCAACAAUAUAAAAACAAAGCAAUAAAACAGAUCAAACAACAAUAAAAACGAGUCAUAAAAAAAUCACAUACAAAAAUAUAAUGAUAAAAUCUUGGAUUGGAUUGGAUCCAAAGGAACUGGGUCAAAAGUGCUAAAAAGGAAUUCCACUCCCAUUUCCCCUCCCGGAAAUGACUCCACUCUGCUCGCUUAACCUUUUUGAGGACUGUGCUGUGAAUACAUGUCCAUCAGAACUGUAUUUUUUCCACAUACUAAAGGUACAUGUAGUGCAUUCCUAACUCACACGGCAUUUUCUACCUGACGUUUUGCACAUUUGAUUCUUGAGAUUGGUAACUCUUAACGAGACUUUCCUUUUUAUGCGCAACUUCUUAUUGGUGUGUAUGCCUGAGUGUUGAUUGUUUUUAGUGUACAGGCCAAUACGGGCUCUGAGUGUGUGUGGGAUUCCCAAAUGGGUCUUUACUUGAUGUAAUGUUUGUGUUGCUUUUAUGACUGUAAACCGCCAUGAGUCCCAUCCGGGAGAUAGGGCGGUAUAUAAAUAAAGUAUUAUUAUUAUUAUUAUUAUUAUUAUUAUUAUUAUUAUUAUUAUUACUUUGAAAGUGGGUCUUUUUAACGGGUGUCCAUUCCCUGAAAUCAUUCUGUCUGUUCUUCCUGAACUUAUAGGAUCCUUCGGGGAAGAAGAAGAAGAAAGAAAAGCAGAAAACGUGGCCGGGAUUAUUGGGGAAUCUGUCACGUUCCAGUUGAAUUUUUCUGAACCAUUUAAAUCCAUUACUUUGCAAAGGAAGAAAAAACAGAAUUUUAAUAAUGUUGCCAUUUUGAAGCUGGAAAAGAACUACUGUGCUGUAACUGAGAUAUUCUUCACAAGCUUCGAAGAGCGACUGGACGUCUCGGAAGACUGCAAGAGGAUAAAAAUCUUCCAUCUGACACAAGAGGAUUCUGCCACAUUCAGAGCUGAGAUCCCAAUCCCUCAAAAGGAUGAACCAUUAAAUCUGUUCUUCAAUCUUCAGGUCUUCAGGAAAUUGUCCGAUUCCGACUUGCAAAUCCACUGCAAAGCAAUAGGAAAUGAGACUUGGCGGCUGAACUGCUCGGCGGGAGAGUCGGAGGAAGGCGUCCUGUUUAACAUGACUGCCGAUGGAAACCAGGAACAUUCGGGAAGGACCCUGGAUGUCCAAGAUGGAGGCGGGGAGGAGGACCCAAACAUCUCCUGCGUGGCCAGGAACCCCGUCAGCACGGCCUCCACAGCACGGCCUUUGAGGGACCUCUGCGGUAAGUUACACAAAAAUACGAUACGGGGAGGAAUUCUGUAUCAAUUUCGUGUUCAGGAGAGUCGAUCCUGCUUUGCAAUCCAGCAGCUGCUGCGAGCGACAGAGCACCAUUCUCCCAUUGACUGAGAUGAAGUAGGUUAUUAUUAUGACUGAUGAUGAAUAAUAACAGACACAAGCAAGGGCUAAUAAUAAUAAUAAUAAUAAUAAUAAUAAAUCUCCACUUCUCUGUCGCACAAGGGUCUCUGGUGCAACUGACACAAGCAAGGGCAUAAUAGUAAUAAUAAUAAUAAUAAUAACAACAACAACAAUAACAAUAAUAAAUGUCCACUUCUCUGUUGCACAAGGGUCUCUGGUGCAACUGACACAAGCAAGGGCAUAAUAAUAAUAAUAAUAAUAAUAAUAAUAAUAAUAAUAAUAAUAAUAAUAACAACAACAACAAUAACAAUAAUAAAUGUCCACUUCUCUGUCGCACAAGGGUCUCUGGUGCAACUGACACAAGCAAGGGCAUAAUAGUAAUAAUAAUAAUAAUAAUAACAACAACAACAAUAACAAUAAUAAAUGUCC